CUCCCUGGUCUCCAGGCAUGCCUAGACAUGAACCAUAAAGGGAAUGAGAUCCUUGGAGUUUCUCUAGUAACUGCAGGCCAAAUCAACAGCAACCCUAAGAACAAGCAUUCUUUUUUUUUUUUCAACAGAACUAGGCCACACAUAUUUUUUGUCGUUAUUUAAAUUUUUAGUUGUACUACAUAGAAAAUAAACUCAUUUUAAAAAGUUAUUUCAGUAGGCAAUGCAUCUUCAUGACUUUUACAUAUGAGUUUUAUUUUUUAUUACUUUUGAAGAAAAGUCUGUAGAAACCUACUUUUCAAGGCAUCUGACCCAACCAUUGCCUUGGAUGGCAGCAAUCCAGCUCAGGCACAGCAUCACCGCCGCCCGGCCGGGAAGAAGACGCCGGCUCGGGCAGCCCGCAGCCUUCGAGAGAAGAUGCCUGAGAAGCGCGGCGUCGGCGUGGGUCCUGCGCAGCCUGCCCCGCGAGCGCCCGCUGCAAGUGCGAGGAAACCCGCGGUUUCUCCAGAUACAGUUAAACUGUUAGCUCUCUCUAGGAGUCACAGAAGAUGAAACAGUCUCAUGCCAGGAAAGCAAAAUCCCUGGAGGUGAAGCCCCUCCAUCCAUGUAACGGUUAAUACUGUAUGCUGUGAUUCACUGUGUCUAUUUGCCAUCGUCUAGUAGAGUAUUCACCAAGCUAGCAACUCAGUUGAGCUCCAACUCAACCAAUGAAUUGCCUGCCUGUCACAACGUGUUGGGGUACCAACUUGAGACUGCAAUUUUUUCUAUGAGUCUAGUUACUAGGCAGUGUAGUUAGCUGAUUGCUAAUAGUACCAAUCACUAACCACACGGCCAGGUAAAAAGAUUUGGGAAUUCGUCCAAAUGAGCUGCCUGUGCAUCAUCAAUGUGCGUGGGGAAGAGGGGUGUUGGAAAAUGCUGAUUUCAUCCAUUGCCUAUUAAUUGCUCAGCCAAAAGAAAAAAAUCAACAUUUCAGCUACUAAGUUUACAAUGUAUGUAAUGUGUAUGUAUGUGGGGUUUUGUUUUGUUUUUUUUUCAAUAUUCCUUCAGGCUCUUAACCAAAAUUUUAGAUAUAAGGGGGAAUAUGAUUUUUUUCUUAGCUGACUGAUGUAUGUUAUUAUAUGAACAUGUGAUUAUUAACUUCUUGAGACUAUAUUGUUAGUAAUAUUUUGAAAGUAAUAUUGUUAGUAAUAUUUCGAAAGAAUAAAGUGCCAUAAAGACAUAAA
rnacentral:lncRNA from 10 species